GUGGAUUAGAUACCCGGGUAGUCCUAGCUGUAAACGAUGGGCACUGGGUAGGGGGCUCGCCGAUGGGCUCUCUGCCGCAGGGAAACCGUGAAGUGCCCCGCCUGGGGAGUAUGGUCGCAAGGCUGAAACUCAAAGGAAUUGACGGGGGCUCACACAAGCGGUGGAGCAUGUGGCUCAAUUCGAGGCUACGCGAAGAACCUUAUCCUGGGCUUGACAUGCACGGAUUAGCCGGCGGAAACGUCGGUGACGCCGCAAGGUGGAACGUGCACAGGUGCUGCACGGUUGUCGUCAACU
rnacentral:rRNA from 1 species